GUCGCUGUGUCAGUUAUAUUAUUGUGUGUUGAAAGUUCUGUCUCCUUGCCUGUUCUCGGACUUUGUUGUUUUGGUUAGUGUGAUCCGUUUUGCUAAUAUUCCCCAAUUCUCGGAACUGAAAGUGGAUUGUCACCUUUGUAUACCUGCCCCACGCCCUGUCAGGCCAGGGUUCCUCACGGCGUUUCAGGCUAAGGAUGGUGUGUAAGGACAGCAGGACAAGCUGUGUGAGCCAGUGACGUUGAUGCACUGUCUGGGCAGACCUGUGAAGGACAAGCUGUGUGAGCCAGUGACAUUGAGGAACUGUCUGGGCAGACCUGUGAAGGACAAGCUGUGUGAGCCAGUGACAUUGAGGAACUGUCUGGGCAGACCUGUGAAGGACAAGCCGUGUGAGCCAGUGACGUUGAGGCACUGUCUGGACAGACCUGUGAAGGACAAGCUGUGUGAGCCAGUGACGUUGAUGCACUGUCUGGGCAGACCUGUGAAGGACAAGCCAUGUGUGCCAGUGACUUUGAGACACUGCAGACCUGAGAACAUGGCGUGUUCCACACACGGCCGCGGCCGGAAUCGACCCCCACAGCCCUGGAGGUGAGAGACCAUAGUGCUGCCCACCGAGCUCCUGUGCUGGUUGAUCAUCCUUGGUCUCAUCAGUAAAUUCAGUACAUUACCCUACAAAACAAGCUUCUGUAGUCCAUUGAAGUAAUAUCUCCUUAAGUGUUAGUAUGUACUGUAAAGGACUCUGGGGCAACAAUUUUUGGAAUGUAAUACAUUGUUAUGGUAGGAGAAUGAACCUAAUUAGGUUGUUGUAAAAAAAUGACAAUCUAAAAUAUGACAAAGGGUGCAUAGAUUCUAGUUAUAGGGUAAACGGACAGGUCAUUAUAGAAAAUGAAUGGGUACUUUCCCAGCAUGCAAUUUUCAUACGAAACAACGUUCUGUUUGCUCACAAUGCUGA